AUUGGGUGUUUUUCCCCCAAAUCCCAUCCAGACGUGUCGGGGAACCACCCUCUAGGCGUGUUUGGCUGAUUUUUGUGUUCAGUAGCGAAGCUUGAACAUUUUCACCGGGGGUCAGAAGUCACCAAACCUAAAACUAUACACCUAAAAUUUUUUUAUAUAUAAAAUCGGGGGGUCGAAAACGUAUAUACCUAAAAAAUUCUAUACGAAACGUACAUACAUAACACUAUUGAGCGAAAAGUUCGGGGGGUCGGGCGCCCCAUGCCCCCUUCAAUGCUUCGCCCCUGUUUGUGUUUUGGCGUAUUUCAAAUCACGCUUGGAGCAAUUUUGAAUGGACAAUCAUAUUUAAUCUUCCUUUUUUGGCCAAUAGCUUUUUUUUGUUGGUUUUUUAUUUUAUUUAAUUCUUUACACCCUUUUAACAUAAUGCCCACAUCACCACUACACCUAUUUUAGAAAAAUGCCCAAUAAUUUCCCUUGCUGGCUGUACUGCCACAUGGCGGAAAACGCCCAAGGGUGGGGGUAUUAUUCACCCUGAGGCUGGAGGGUGUGGUUGGAGCUCCCUAGGGGCUUUAUCAGGCCAUGUAAGCGACACCUAAGAUCCACCUCAGCCAUGGGGCUUUAUCACGCCCCCCUUUAAUUUGCAAGGUGUGGAUGGAGCCCCCUAUUAAACAAAAUAAAAAAAAAGAAAAAGAUUUGAUUAGCUCAGAGAUGUGGGCCCCACGUGAUAAAGCCCCCUCUAUAGCACCCUCUUUAAUUCAGAUAGUGUGGUUGUAUAGCGCCCCGGGGCGCUAUAGUUGAUGAGUUGGCUGGUGUGGCGCCCCCACACCCUCCAGUCUUACCACUACGCAUGGUCUGAGGUUAAUUUAAGAGUAAAUACACUUAUGUCAAUUACUCUCAAUAAAGUCCCUCCAUCAAAUGACUGUUAGUCAACAGUUUGGAUUAUGAUUAAAAGACAAACUAUCCUUAAGAGACAAAAACUGCGAUAAUGUAACACCCCAAAAACCGGUAUUUAAUUAAAGUAAAUGAAAAUGAACAAAAAGUAACCUAGUUAAUGGGUUAUGAUAAGAAAUAAGUUAAAAAUUUGAAGUAAUGCUUAAAUUAAAUACUUAUCAAUUUAGAAGGGGGUUAAUGUGUAAGAUUUUAAUAAUUAGGGUUUUAUAGUGGUAAACCCACAAACACACUCCUGUGUGCGUACCUGGGAGCGAUCGAACAGAAGAAACAAGGGUGAAAACCCUUGUUCAUGCUAAUCUACUCAAUUAAUCAAGAAAUUCAAGUCUAAAUCAGUUGCAUGUCUCAAGUUUAUCGAUUAUCUAUGCAUACAUAGUGAAGUGGUGUGAAAGAAGAAGGUUCGAAUUCCAAGAAAUCGGAAGGAUCACAAGACCGAGGUAAAUCCUCGACUUAGACGAUUGGACGGCUUGGAACGUGCACACUUGGUUUACGCCCGCCUCACGCUUCCGUUAUAAAUUACUUUUGAAAUGGGUCAAUUUUGUGGUUGUAUGUACUUUAAGUCCAUGUAGUAUGUUGUUGUCUUGUCGUAGGGUAAAAACUUAGUAGUUGUAGUCAUAUCGGGUCUAAUGUAAGCUUUGCCCGUUUAGGGAAUUGUCAAGAUGGUUAAACUUUGAA